UCGUGGCCCAGUGGGUAGAGUGAUGCACUUUGAGUUUGGCGUGAGGGAAGUGAGGGGCGCGUAGGUUCGAACCCCCCUCUCGGAACUCACAAAAACCUUGAAAGAGCAUCCCUCCAUCACCAUGUGUGAUGGAACUGCCCACGGGGAGGAGGGGAGGUGAGUGCGCAGCACCUCCCUACCCCUCCCCAGGGGAGGAAGGCACCGCCUUACCGGCCCCCGGGAGAGCAAGGGAGGUGAGUGCACAGCGCUUCCCUUCUCUCCCCUACCUAACCCUGGCAAGUCUACGGACUACCAGGCAAAAAAUAAUAAAAAAAAAAAAUAAAUAAAUAAAAAAAUAAGGGUAAGUGCAUAGCACUUCUCUUCUCUUCACCUAACAGAAUAAAAAAUAUAAAGGUGAGUGCAUAGCACUUCCCUUCUCUUCCAACCUACCAGGCAAAAGAUAGAAAAAUAAAUAAAUAAAGAAUUAAGGUGAGUGCAUAGCACUUCCCUUGUCUCCGGCAAAAGAUAGAAAAGAAAAAAUAAAGAAUUAAGGUGAGUGCAUAGCACUUCCCUUGUCUCCUAACCUACCACGCGAAAAAAAAAAAAUAAAUAAAUAAAAUAAAAUAAAUAAAUAGAUAAAGAUAAAUAAAUAAAAAUAAAUAAAAAACCUCCUUACCACCUCGGACCUCGGGAGAGCAAGGGAGGUGAGUGCACAGCACUUCCCUUCUCUCCCCAAGUCUACGGACUGCCAGACCAAAAAGAAUAAAAUAUAUAUAGGUAUAAAAAAUAAUAAAUAAUAAAAAAAAGAUAAAUUAAAAAAUAAGUAAAUAAAACAAAAGCAAUAAAACUCCUACUCCCCCCUCAAUAAAACUGACUGAGUCUGGCAAUCAACAAUAAAUAAUAAAAACAAAACAAUACCAACUGACUGACCCUGACAACCCCAAAGACCACCACCCACCUGGGAAGCACGGGAGGUGAGUGUGCAGCACCUCCUUACCCUUCCCAGUCUCCCAGUUUGACUUUGACCACCAAUCUGACUCAUCCUACCAACUCCAAAGAGCAACUCCAACUGUACAGACCACCACCACCACCACCCUUCUGAUCUCGGCAAGGUGAGUGUGCAGCACCUCCCUACCCUUCCCAGUCUCCCAGUUUGGCUUUGACCACCAAUGUGACUCAUCCUACCAACUCCAAAUGUACAGACCACCACCACCACCCCUCUGAUCUUGGCAAGGUGAGUGCGUAGCACUUCCCUUGACUGAGUGGGCCUGACUGACUGACCCCGGCAACUCCAAAAACAACCAAUCUGACAAAUGUUACAAAUGUAACCUGGGGAGCAUAGGAGGUGAGUGUGCAGCACCUCCCUACCCUUCCCUACCCUUACCAAAAUAAAUGAAAAAUAAAAACAAAAAUAAAUAAAGUAAAAACAAUAAAACUCCUACUUCCCCCUCAAUAAAAUGACUGAGUCUGGCAAUCAACAAUAAAUAAUAAAAAUAAAACAAUACCAACCUCACUGACCCUGACAACUCCAAAGACCACCACCCCACCUGGGAAGCACGGGAGGUGAGUGUGCAGCACCUCCCUACCCUUCCCAGCCUUCUAGUUUGACUUUGAUCCCCAAUCUGACUCAUCCUAGGAACUCUAAUUGUACCGACCACCACCAGUAUUCCCCACCCUGGCAACUGAUCCUGGCAAGGUGAGUGCGUAGCACUUCCCGUGACUCAUCCUGGUAACUCCAAAGACCCACCAUCCUGACCGCCCCUGGGAAUCACGGGAGGUGAGUGUGCAGCACCUCCCUACACUUCCCAGUCUCCCAGUUUGACUUUGACCACCAAUGUGACUCAUCCUACCAACUCCAAAUGUACAGACCACCACCACCACCCCUCUGAUCU